rnacentral:rRNA from 1 species
CGAACGGGUGAGUAAUGCGUGACCAACCUGCCCCAUGCUCCAGAAUAGCUCUUGGAAACGGGUGGUAAUGCUGGAUGCUCCAACUUGACGCAUGUCUUGUUGGGAAAGUGUUUAGUGGCAUGGGAUGGGGUCGCGUCCUAUCAGCUUGUAGGCGGGGUAAUGGCCCACCUAGGCUUCGACGGGUAGCCGGCCUGAGAGGGCGGACGGCCACAUUGGGACUGAGAUACGGCCCAGACUCCUACGAGAGGCGCAGCC